rnacentral:lncRNA from 1 species
AAAUGGACGAAGUACACGAUAUCGAGGGAGCGCAGCAGGCUGCAUUAACUGCUUUUGAUCAAGUGUUAACUGCCGUUUCUCGUGUAAGACAAGAAUUAGAGCGGUCAGGUGAAACUAAUAUCUUGACUUCUACACAGCAGUUGUUUCGUCGAUCACGGAAUGAAGGCCAGUCUGCUGGAAGAAGGGUGAGGCCGACAUGGCACGUGAGCAUAUUUCUGCUUCCGGGACCGGACAUCUCCAGACUACCUUCAGCCAGUGAACGUGCUCAAAUGACAGAGAAGGGAUUAGGGAAGCCGCUUCAUGAAACGGAGCAAAAUCAGUCCUCCAAAGUUCAGCUGAAUUGGACUCUAGCUGAAUUUAAUCAAUACAUCUGCCAGAGCUACCCCAAGUAA